UACGAAGGGGGCUAGCGUUGAUCGGAAUUACUGGGCGUAAAGGGCGCGUAGGCGGUCUUGUAAGUCAGAUGUGAAAGCCCCGGGCUCAACCCGUGAGUAGCAUUUGAUACUGCGAGUCUUGAGUCCGGGAGAGGAUGGCGGAAUCCCCAGUGUAGAGGUGAAAUUCGUAGAUAUUGGGAAGAACACCGGUGGCGAAGGCGGCCAUCUGGACCGGUACUGACGCUUAGGCGCGAAAGCGUGUGGAGCAAACAGG
rnacentral:rRNA from 1 species